CAUCAACCAAGCUCAAGUCACUGAAACUUUACGUCCUCAUCAUGCCCUCUGAAACCACCCCGAAUUUGGGGAAGACUCAAAAACAUUGGCUGUUCACAAAAAGUAAAAACAUUUCUUGAUACAGAGAGAUUACCUGUAUGAAACCAAACACCUGGGAAGCUGACCUCUGGCUAUGAAGCGAUGGGGCCUGAUCUAUGUGAAUGUCUCACAAAAUGUCUCAGCCACAAAGCUGUGAUAAAGAUCAUCUGACAGUGACACUCCAGACCCUCAGGUUUCAGGUUAAACAAGAGAUGUCAUCAAAAUUAUUCUCAGUGAUGUAUUUCAGCAGAGCAAAAGACUUUAUGCAAGAUGAAAACUGUGGACAGUGACUCGUCUACAAGAGCUUAGUGGUGUUGGGAUUGAGUGGAAUUCACAUAAAAUAUCUGAACAAGGUGACUUGCUUUGGGAGCUGUUCAAAGCCACUUUUUCUACAAGACACCAAGUGAAAUGUACCAUGACUGGACAGCACAUGGGUUAUCGGACAUUUUCAUCACCCAACACGUAAGGAAACUUCUUCCUAAAAAGGACCAGGAGUGAGACACUGCUGAGAAUCCCAGGACGCACAUGGCCAAAGGGAGGAUGAUGAUGGACUCCCUUUGUCAGUCCAAUGUGAAACAGAACCAGAGGGCCUGAAUGCUAAGGUGUUUUAUGGCCGUCUCACUUUUCCCAUACGCCCUGACAUAGAGGGCCAGAGGAGGGAAGAGGAAGAAUUGCCUCUGCCU